UAAGGUAAGACAGAGCCGGGAAUGAGAAAACCGGUGCAAGCACAAUAGAUGUGCGGGAGGAAAAACCCCCGCAUAAGUCGAAGGUGUGACGCGGACCGAAAAAGAGUAGGGAAGCUGUUAAGCAAGCCGUCAAGAAAAGCUGCUAUUGUUUCAUUAUGGCCCGUACCGUAAACCGACACAGGUGGAUGGGGAGAGAAUCCUAAGGCCGGCGGAAGAAGUAUUGUUAAGGAACUCGGCAAAAUGACCCCGUAACUUCGGGAGAAGGGGUGCCUGCGAGAGCAGGCCGCAGAGAAGAGGCCCAAGCAACUGUUUAGCAAAAACACAGGUCUAUGCAAAACCGAAAGGUGAGGUAUAUGGGCUGACGCCUGCCCGGUGCUGGAAGGUUAAGGGGAGUGGUCAGGAAACGAAGCCACGAACUUAAGCCCCAGUAAACGGCGGCCGUAACAAUAACGGUCCUAAGGUAGCGAAAUUCCUUGUCGGGUAAGUUCCGACCCGCACGAAAGGCGUAAUGAUUUGGGCGCUGUCUCGACAAUACAUCCGGUGAAAUUGAAGUGCCAGUGAAGAUGCUGGCUACCUGCGCCAGGACGGAAAGACCCCAUGGAGCUUUACUCCAGCUUGAUACUGGGACCCGGUAUUGCAUGUACAGGAUAGGUGGGAGGCUAGGAAAUGUGGACGCCAGUCUGCAUGGAGCCGCUGUUGGGAUACCACCCUUGUGGUGCUGGGUUUCUAACCAGAGGCCGUGAACCGGUCUGGGGACAAUGUCAGGUGGGGAGUUUGACUGGGGCGGUCGCCUCCGAAAGGGUAUCGGAGGCGCCCAAAGGUUCCCUCAGAAUGGUUGGAAACCAUUCGAAGAGUGCAAAGGCAGAAGGGAGCUUGACUGCGACACCGACGGGUGGAGCAGGUACGAAAGUAGGGCUUAGUGAUCCGGUGGAAUUUAAGUGGGAAUGCCAUCGCUCAACGGAUAAAAGCUACCCUGGGAUAACAGGCUGAUCACUCCCAAGAGUUCACAUCGACGGAGUGGUUUGGCACCUCGAUGUCGGCUCAUCGCAUCCUGGGGCUGAAGUCGGUCCCAAGGGUUGGGCUGUUCGCCCAUUAAAGCGGUACGCGAGCUGGGUUCAGAACGUCGUGAGACAGUUCGGUCCCUAUCCGGCGUGGGCGUAGGAUAUCUGAGAGGAGCUGUCCUUAGUACGAGAGGACCGGGAUGGACUGACCUCUGGUGUACCGGUUGGCGAUCAACGCCACGGCCGGGUAGCCAUGUCGGGACGGGAUAAACGCUGAAGGCAUCUAAGCGUGAAGCCCCCCUCAAGAUGAGAUAUCCCAUCGUAAGAGUAAGACCCCUUGAAGACGACGAGGUUGAUAGGGCAGGGGUGGAAGUGCCGUAAGGCAUGGAGCUGACUGCUACUAAUCGGUCGAGGGCUUGAC
rnacentral:rRNA from 1 species